rnacentral:rRNA from 5 species
AAUCCAUAGGUUAAUGAGGCGAACCGGGGGAACUGAAACAUCUAAGUACCCCGAGGAAAAGAAAUCAACCGAGAUUCCCCCAGUAGCGGCGAGCGAACGGGGAGGAGCCCAGAGCCUGAAUCAGCAUGUGUGUUAGUGGAAGCGUCUGGAAAGGCGCGCGAUACAGGGUGACAGCCCCGUACACAAAAGCGCAUGUGCUGUGAGCUCGAUGAGUAGGGCGGGACACGUGGUAUCCUGUCUGAAUAUGGGGGGACCAUCCUCCAAGGCUAAAUACUCCUGACUGACCGAUAGUGAACCAGUACCGUGAGGGAAAGGCGAAAAGAACCCCGGCGAGGGGAGUGAAAAAGAACCUGAAACCGUGUACGUACAAGCAGUGGGAGCACAGGUUUACCUGUGUGACUGCGUACCUUUUGUAUAAUGGGUCAGCGACUUAUAUUCUGUAGCAAGGUU